UUGCCUUUUCCACGCGGCCCGCGGCACCGGGGAGGGGAGUGGAGCGGCACCGGAGCGACCGCGUCUGCCCGCCCGGGACUCAGCGUGGGUGGAAGGGCGGAUGGGCGCGGCGGGACCUGGCCCGCGUUUGCGGUGGCCGUGUCCCCCGGGAGCGCCCUUCCACGGGGAUCCCGUGAUGGCGAGGGGUGCCCGGGGGCGGGGGUUGCCCGUGUGCGGCAGCUCUGUGGCUUGUGAGCUGUUCCUCUGUGCCUCGGCCUCCGGCGUGGGAGCGGCAGCCUGGGAAGCCGAGUCUGGUGAAUACAGAUUGAAAGAGGGCAGCGAGUGAAGUUCAACAUGAGUUUGUUACUGGCUUUUGGAAUCUUCAGUCUGGACUCUGCCACGCUGUUGCCUUGCAAGCAGAAAGAUGUCACGUGAAUUCUAGAGCUACAGAAGUAAAUAUUUCGUACUGUACUUAAAGGUGACAUCAGAUGACCAUCUCCACCGUCUCCCAGCCAUGUGUAUGCACUCAGGGCCAACAGUAGAGUCCACUGCUAGUCUUCCCAUUUUUGCUUGAGAGAUCAUGGGAGAGACUGUGGAGAGCUUGAAAAGAGCAGCCUGGCAUGUGGAGUUCUAAUGCACUUGGAAAUGCUUCCAUGGCCCUUCCUGCUUCUCAGAAAUACCGCUUGAUUCAAUAAUAUUGCAGAGAAGUACCUGUUUGCUGAAUAUGUCUGAAUAAUCCUGGAAUGAAGUUCAGGUGAGAGUGUCACUCCGGAAAGGGAACUGACCUUAGAACUUGGUAUGAAUAUUUGAGUGUAUCAAAUAAAUGGAUUAAAAGUGAAUACAGCAAGGGUUAAAACAUGUAGGAAAACUCAUUAUCUUGGCUAGUUUACAAUGUUAGUAGUGGGUAUGAAUAAAAUCUUGGAUUUCUGUUUUCAGUGACUGUUUUUUGUUGAGGGUAUGGGAACAGUAGCACUGUGAUACCGCUGGAUGACAUUCUGUAUAGGAGUCACACAAGCCUUAAAUAUUCAGCUUGUCCAGAUUGACAGGAGGUCUGUACAAUUUUACUGCUGCUUUUUUAUUUAACAUAUAUCUCUUGGAUGUAAAACUUGUUGAGGAUUGUCUAGUGCUAUAUCCUUUCUAGGAAGAUGAAAUACAGAAAAGCCCAUAGUUGGGGAAGCAUACUGUACCUCAGACACCUCAUCUUUUACCACACCAUUCUUCACACUUGUUUUUGCAGUGAAGUAGAGGUGAACUCAUUGAGCUACCUGCCUACCAGGUUGUCUAAUAUUACCUUUCACUCUCCUGUGGCAUUCUGCUGUCCCCUGCAGCCUGCAUAAAAUGAUGUGGAAACAUGUGGGGAGGUGUUUUGUUUUUUUUUUUUUUUUAUUGCAGGACCACACUGGCAUCCUUGUCUAAUACUAUGUUGCUGUAAUGUAAAAAAAGACACAAAACAUGAAGCAGUAUGGUGAUGCUUUUAUACAUUUCAAAAUUUAUACAGCAUGAGUAAUGAAAGUUGGCUUAAACUAGGAAAAGUUUUAAUGUACUUAAAACUACUUAACCCUCUGGGUGAUACACUUGAAAAGAAGCAACAAGAAAAAGUGCAGUGAAUUCACGUAGUUAAAAGGCGCAACAUUAGAUUCUGAAGUUGGGGUUUAAAUUUUAGUUGUCUUACUAAAAACCCUGCUUAGUCCUCAUUUAACAGUGAAUGAACAUUUGUAGCCAGGAAGAGAGGUUCUGAUUGUGGCUAUAUUCUGGGGCCAUGGCCUCCCAGGAUGAAGGCAUCCCUCCUGCCUUCAAAGAACACUGUCAAAAAACUAGCAGUUCAAAUCCUGUUGGAUAUGCUUUAUUCCUUAUAAAACAGCACCGAACUGUCUUAGACAGCUGGUAAGUUUUCUAUAUUUUUGUAUUUCUAUCUCAAUAAAAUAGUCUCUCAAAAAGCCAAAGCUUCAGGCUUUACUCCACAGAGAGGAGUUUUUACUCUUCAUUAGCGUUGAUGUGAAUUCCUGGACCAUAUGCCGCAAUAAACUUCAGGAGUUCAUGGUGACACUGCAUGAGGUAAAUAUCUCUUUGUUGCAGGGAGUUUUCAUCACUGAGGUCAAAUGGAAAUACGGAAUUUGGUGCUACACAUAAUGCAGAUGUGCCUAAGCAAAGAAGAAAUCAAGACUUCGGCUGAAAGACUUGAUAAAUUUUAGCCAGUACUUUGAGAUGAAAAAAGUGUGACACAGAUUAUAUAGUAAUGCAAUCUUCUGUGUUACCAUUUUUAACUGUUACAUCAUAAUUCUAACCUUGUUUCUAAAGCUGUGUGUGAACAACUGUGACUGUGAUGCUUGAAAACAAACUAAAAAAUCCCAACCCUUGUUUUCAGCUUCUCCAAGAAGGGAAAUCUAUCCUUUAACCUGACCAGUGUUAGAGGAGCAACACCUCAAACCAGCAUGAAGGACAGACUUGGUGCUGGCCUGUGGCCUAAUUAUGUAGAGCGCUGAGGCUCAGCAGGGAAGCCAAUUGACAGACUUUUCCAAUACCAACUUCAACAGUGGAAACUGGAUUUUGAUUUGAAAUGACCUAUUACUGCAAUCAAUUAAUACAAACGUUUUUCAAACUAACAAACAUGAAUAACCUAAAGACUGAGUUGCAUUAUUUACCGUGUUUUAGGGUAAGAGAUGACUCAAGUAACAAGAUGGCAAUCAACGCAUCUUCCUGAAGUACUGUGUGUCUUAAACUUAGCUUGGUAUGAGCCUUAGACAGUGAAAUCCUAAGAGAUCAAUAUAAACAUGUCAGAAAUAAAAAAUACUGCAGAAGUGAAUGCGAUGUGCAUUGCCCUGUUUCAAGCACUUGUGUAAAUCAAAAGUUAACACUGAAGUGUUUUCAUACUUCAGCUGUGCAGUUAUACUUACCACUGACAAAAUACAUAUUAUGAUAUGAAAGCACUAGAAUAUUAUCUAUUGUUAAUACUUGUUUUGCUCCCAUAAUAAAGCUGUGGAUAUUUAAAUCCCA